CAAGGCUUGACAUACACCGGAAACGUCCAGAGAUGGGCGCCCCCUUGUGGUCGGUGUACAGGUGGUGCAUGGCUGUCGUCAGCUCGUGUCGUGAGAUGUUGGGUUAAGUCCCGCAACGAGCGCAACCCUUGUCCCGUGUUGCCAGCAGGCCCUUGUGGUGCUGGGGACUCACGGGAGACCGCCGGGGUCAACUCGGAGGAAGGUGGGGACGACGUCAAGUCAUCAUGCCCCUUAUGUCUUGGGCUGCACACGUGCUACAAUGGCCGGUACAAUGAGCUGCGAUACCGCGAGGUGGAGCGAAUCUCAAAAAGCCGGUCUCAGUUCGGAUUGGGGUCUGCAACUCGACCCCAUGAAGUCGGAGUCGCUAGUAAUCGCAGAUCAG
rnacentral:rRNA from 1 species